UACGGAGGAUGCAAGCGUUAUCCGGAAUUAUUGGGCGUAAAGGGCGCGUAGGCGGGGAGGUAAGUCGGGUGUGAAAUCCCUCGGCCCAACCGAGGAACUGCGCCCGAGACUGCUUCUCUUGAGUCCCGGAGAGGAAGAUGGAAUUCCCGGUGUAGCGGUGAAAUGUGUAGAGAUCGGGAGGAACACCGGUGGCGAAGGCGGUCUUCUGGACGGUGACUGACGCUGAGGCGCGAAAGCGUGGGGAGCAAACGGG
rnacentral:rRNA from 1 species